UACGAAGGGGACUAGCGUUGUUCGGAAAUACUGGGCGUAAAGCGCACGUAGGCGGCGCAGCAAGUCAGGGGUGAAAUCCCGGGGCUUAACCCCGGAACUGCCCUUGAAACUGCAGUGCUAGAAUUCUGGAGAGGCGAGUGGAAUUCCGAGUGUAGAGGUGAAAUUCGUAGAUAUUCGGAAGAACACCAGUGGCGAAGGCGACUCGCUGGACAGACAUUGACGCUGAGGUGCGAAAGCGUGGGGAGCAAACAGG
rnacentral:rRNA from 1 species